AGUCCUGUAGCUCAACCGGUAGAGCGUUAGACUCUGACUCUAAAAGUUGAAGGUUCAAAUCCUUCCGGGACUG
rnacentral:tRNA from 1 species